UGGGGAAUAUUGCACAAUGGGGGAAACCCUGAUGCAGCGACGCCGCGUGAACGAAGAAGGUAUUCGUAUCGUAAAGUUCUGUCCUAUGGGAAGAUAAUGACAGUACCAUAGAAGAAAGCUCCGGCUAAAUACGUGCCAGCAGCCGCGGUAAUACGUAUGGAGCGAGCGUUGUCCGGAAAUAUUGGGCGUAAAGGGUACGCAGGCGGUUUAAUAAGUCGAAUGUUAAAGAUCGGGGCUCAACCCCGCAAAGCAUUGGAAACUGAUAAACUUGAGUAGUGGAGAGGAAAGUGGAAUUCCUAGUGUAGUGGAGAAAUACGUAGAUAUUAGGAGGAAUACCAGUAGCGAAGGCGACUUUCUGGACACAAACUGACGCUGAGGUACGAAAGCGUGGGGAGCAAACAGG
rnacentral:rRNA from 1 species